AUGAUUACCUUCGUGAAACUGUCAAGAUUUGUCUUCCGCACCCAAGAUCUCUGAGACGUUGGAUAGAAAGUGUGGAUUCGGCACCAGGAUUGAAUGUUGCAAUGCUGGAGGUACUUAGAAAAAAAAAACACAGUCCCCAGAUGAAUAUACAAGUUGUUGCCUAAUGAUUGAUGCUAUGGCUAUCCGUCGCCACAUAGAUUACAACUGGCAUGAUGGUACGUAUAGUGGCUAUGUAGAUAUGGGUCAUGGUGCUGAAAAUGGGGAAGCUAAAGAAGCUCUUGUCUUCAUGUUAGUUGGACUGAGUGGUGGAUGGAAAGCACCCAUUGCUUACUUCUUCACCAAGGUCUUGACAGCUGAGACCCAGAAGCAACUGGUUCAUCAUACCAUUGAUAAACUGCAUGAAUUAGGCUUUCAGGUGCAUGCAUUAACUAUGGAUGGCCAUGCCACCAAUGUUUCCAUGUGUACUUUGCUUGGUGCUAACUUUGAUUUCACAGGAAAUAAUUUGCAAACAUACAUUACUACUGGUCUACCACACAAAACGUGCAUAAUUUUUGACGUCUGCCAUAUGAUAAAACUUUUGAGAAACAUGCUUCAGGCCUAUGGUGCUUUAGUUACAUCUGAUGGUAAAGUUUCCUGGCAGUACCUGAGUUUGCUCAAUACAGUGCAGGAAGAGGACGGUCUUAGAUUGGGUAAUAAGAUAUCAUCUCGUCACAUCAUGUUUUUCAAGCAGAAAAUGAAGGUGUCAUUAGCUACACAGCUAUUCUCUUCAUCUGUUGCCAAGGCUCUACGUACCAUGAAAGAUAUUGGUGAUAGGAGGUUUGAGGAUUGUCUUGCAACUGUAAAGUUUAUUGAGGUCAAUGUGUGGGAAAGGUUUAAUUAUUGCAAUUGAAUCUACAUUGACCAUAGCACACCAAGUUCUUGGUAAUCAGAAAUAUCUGCUAUGCUACAAAUUAAGCCAGGACCACUUAGAAUUGUUUUUCAAUGCGAUCCGGCGGGGUGGUGGUUGGAAUAACAAUCCCUCUGCAAAAGUUUUUGAAAGCUCUUUCAAGAGAAUCAUUACCCAUUGUGGUGCUUUGAAGGUUUCCAAAGAAGGGAAUUGUAUCGCCCAGGAUGACACAAGUCUUGUGCAAGCCAGUACAUCGACUUACUUGCCACCAGAUGCAGGGAAAUCGGA